AUUGAACGCUGGCGGCAUGCCUUACACAUGCAAGUCGAACGGUAACGGGCCUUCGGGUGCCGACGAGUGGCGAACGGGUGAGUAAUACAUCGGAACGUGCCCGAUCGUGGGGGAUAACGAGGCGAAAGCUUCGCUAAUACCGCAUACGAUCUACGGAUGAAAGCAGGGGACCGCAAGGCCUUGCGCGGACGGAGCGGCCGAUGGCAGAUUAGGUAGUUGGUGGGAUAAAAGCUUACCAAGCCGACGAUCUGUAGCUGGUCUGAGAGGAUGAUCAGCCACACUGGGACUGAGACACGGCCCAGACUCCUACGGGAGGCAGCAGUGGGGAAUUUUGGACAAUGGGCGCAAGCCUGAUCCAGCCAUGCCGCGUGCAGGAUGAAGGCCUUCGGGUUGUAAACUGCUUUUGUACGGAACGAAAAGCCUUCUUUUAAUACAGGAGGGUCAUGACGGUACCGUAAGAAUAAGCACCGGCUAACUACGUG
rnacentral:rRNA from 1 species